rnacentral:lncRNA from 1 species
GUAGGAUGUGGCUGUUAUAAGGAAGGAGAAAAACUUGAAGUAAAAAAGAAUGAAAGAGCAAUAGAAUUUGGCUGUUAACAGCACAACACAAAACCAAAAUAUUCUGACCAAACUCUAACCCUCGCAAGACUGCAUUUUAAAAAUACUACAAGUGAGAAUAAAAAGAAACAUGUCCAUGAACCAAUCAGCACAUGCGCGAGCGCACACGGAAAAGAGAAGAUUCCUAAUGAGCAAUUAAGGAGCCUGUUCCACUGGGGCGGAAUAAACAUGAUCUCUGCCCAACUACCUGAGCCCAGCCCAGCGGAAGAGUAAGGGCUAGGGGCUGUUAAGCCCUUCUUUUUGUGUAGCUCACCAAAUUGCCAGUUGGAGUUCAAAAAUUCUCAGCUUCUCUUCUCCCCAGUGUGAGGAAGGGUGGGAGGAGAAGCAUUGCCCGCUAGUUUUGUCUGCACAGGCCAGGCCCCCACCCCCC